rnacentral:rRNA from 1 species
UGAGAGUUCGAUCCUGGAUCAGGAUGAACGCUAGUGGCAUGUUUAACACAUGCAAGUCAGAUAGGAAGUGGUGUUUCCAAUGGUGAAUGGGUGAGUAGCGCAUAAAAACCUACCCUUGGGAGGGAAAGAACAACUGGAAAUGACUGCUAAUGCCCCAUAGGCCGAGGAGCAAAAGGAGGAAUCCACCCAAGGAGGGGCUUGCAUCUGAUUAGCUAGUUGGUAAAGCAAUAGCUUAUCAAGGCAAUGACCAGUAGCUGGUCUGAGAGGAUGAUCAGCCACACUGGGACUAAGAUAUGGCCCAGACAACUACGGGAGGCAGCAGUGGAGAAUUUUUCGCAAUGGGUGAAAGCCUAAC